GAUGAACGCUGGCGGCGUGCCUAAUACAUGCAAGUCGAGCGAACAGACGAGGAGCUUGCUCCUCUGACGUUAGCGGCGGACGGGUGAGUAACACGUGGAUAACCUACCUAUAAGACUGGGAUAACUUCGGGAAACCGGAGCUAAUACCGGAUACUAUAUUGAACCGCAUGGUUCAAUAGUGAAAGACGGUUUUGCUGUCACUUAUAGAUGGAUCCGCGCCGCAUUAGCUAGUUGGUAAGGUAACGGCUUACCAAGGCGACGAUGCGUAGCCGACCUGAGAGGGUGAUCGGCCACACUGGAACUGAGACACGGUCCAGACUCCUACGGGAGGCAGCAGUAGGGAAUCUUCCGCAAUGGGCGAAAGCCUGACGGAGCAACGCCGCGUGAGUGAUGAAGGUCUUCGGAUCGUAAAACUCUGUUAUUAGGGAAGAACAAAUGUGUAAGUAACUAUGCACGUCUUGACGGUACCUAAUCAGAAAGCCACGGCUAACUACGUG
rnacentral:rRNA from 1 species